AUUGAACGCUGGCGGCAGGCCUAACACAUGCAAGUCGAACGGUAACAGGAAGAAGCUUGCUUCUUUGCUGACGAGUGGCGGACGGGUGAGUAAUGUCUGGGAAACUGCCUGAUGGAGGGGGAUAACUACUGGAAACGGUAGCUAAUACCGCAUAACGUCGCAAGACCAAAAAGGGGGACCUUCGGGCCUCUUGCCAUCGGAUGUGCCCAGAUGGGAUUAGCUAGUAGGUGGGGUAACGGCUCACCUAGGCUACGAUCCCUAGCUGGUCUGAGAGGAUGACCAGCCACACUGGAACUGAGACACGGUCCAGACUCCUACGGGAGGCAGCAGUGGGGAAUAUUGCACAAUGGGCGCAAGCCUGAUGCAGCCAUGCCGCGUGUAUGAAGAAGGCCUUCGGGUUGUAAAGUACUUUCAGCGGGGAGGAAGGGAGUAAAGUUAAUACCUUUGCUCAUUGACGUUACCCGCAGAAGAAGCACCGGCUAACUCCGUG
rnacentral:rRNA from 1 species